CCUACGGGUGGCAGCAGUGGGGAAUAUUGCACAAUGGGGGAAACCCUGAUGCAGCGACGCCGCGUGAGUGAAGAAGUAUCUCGGUAUGUAAAGCUCUAUCAGCAGGGAAGAAAAUGACGGUACCUGACUAAUAAGCACCGGCUAACUACGUGCCAGCAGCCGCGGUAAUACGUAGGGGGCAAGCGCUAUCCGGAUUUACUGGGUGUAAAGGGAGUGUAGACGGCGCUGCAAGUCCGGAGUGAAAGCCCAUGGCUUAAACAUGGUACUGCUGUGGAAACUGUGGAGCUUGAGAGCGGGAGGGGCAGGCGGAAUUCGUAGUGUAGCGGUGAAAUGCGUAGAUAUUGGGAGGAACACCGGCGGCGAAGGCGGCAUGCUGGCCCGUAACUGACGCUGAGGCUCGAAAGCGUGGGGAGCAAACAGGAUUAGAUACCCUAGUAGUC
rnacentral:rRNA from 1 species